rnacentral:rRNA from 1 species
UACGUAGGGCGCGAGCGUUGUCCGGAUUUAUUGGGCGUAAAGAGCUCGUAGGCGGCUCGUUGCGUCGGCUGUGAAAACCCGCGGCUCAACCGUGGGCUUGCAGCUGAUACGGGCGGGCUGGAGUUCGGUAGGGGAGACUGGAAUUCCUGGUGUAGCGGUGAAAUGCGCAGAUAUCAGGAGGAACACCGGUGGCGAAGGCGGGUCUCUGGGCCGAUACUGACGCUGAGGAGCGAAAGCGUGGGGAGCGAACAGG